AUUUUCAGUCCAUAACCUCACGCACAUAUUCUAAAUUAAGCAUCGGAAGGGCGACGAUGAUACACCUCGACACCUUUGUUUCAGGUACCGGAAGAACACGUUCGUGCUCGCCACCAGUCGUCCUGCUUGGAAUUGCUCAGAUACAAUUUUUGGUAGCAUCAAAUAUAAUUUAGAGUACCAUUGGAGAUGCUCUAAUGACGCAAAGGAAAACACGACCAUAAUUAUCAUGUAGAAGAUUGAUUUGAAUAUGCUAAAAGUUUAUUGUUCUUCAAUUUCAUUUCUAAAGUUACGAUCAACUCAAAUCUAUUUAUUUGAAAGUAUAAUUUCUCCAUCGUCGUAAAAUGGAGGGGUUUUCUUUUUCUUUUUUUUUUUUUUUUUUUUUUUUUUUUUUUUUAUUUAAAGAGAAACAUGUAUCCUAGAGAUAACUUCUUUAUCUCCAACGUCUAAAAUAACAGUUCAACAUUGACUUGAAAAAGAUAAAGCGUUGAAUUGUGAGGCAUAAUUAAUUGCACGCGGCUUGUAAUAUUCCAAGAAUUUACUGUACUCAAU
rnacentral:lncRNA from 1 species